rnacentral:rRNA from 1 species
GACGAACGCUGGCGGCGUGCUUAACACAUGCAAGUCGAACGAUGAAGCUGGAGCUUGCUCUGGUGGAUUAGUGGCGAACGGGUGAGUAACACGUGAGUAACCUGCCCUGGACUCUGGGAUAACCCCGAGAAAUCGGAGCUAAUACCGGAUAGGACCUCGGGUCGCAUGAUCUGGGGUGGAAAGUUUUUCGGUCUGGGAUGGACUCGCGGCCUAUCAGCUUGUUGGUGAGGUAAUGGCUCACCAAGGCGUCGACGGGUAGCCGGCCUGAGAGGGUGACCGGCCACACUGGGACUGAGACACGGCCCAGACUCCUACGGGAGGCAGCAGUGGGGAAUAUUGCACAAUGGGCGCAAGCCUGAUGCAGCAACGCCGCGUGCGGGAUGACGGCCUUCGGGUUGUAAACCGCUUUUAGUAAGGAAGAAGCCGCAAGGUGACGGUACUUGCAGAAAAAGGACCGGCUAACUACGUGCCAGCCGCCGCCGUAAAAC